rnacentral:misc_RNA from 1 species
AAUUCUCAAAACCCUUUCUUUGGUCUCUUGAUCGGGGGAAGGAUUUUGGACUUGGAGGCCUUUUGCUGGUUUCAACUUGAAGCGAGCUCCUCCCAAAUGAAUUAGUGGGGUCUGCUUUGCCGAUCCUUGGCGUGAUAAGUCGUUUCUACGUCUUGGAUUUUGGCACUGUACCCCUGCUUCUACCCGUCUCAUCGACAAUGAUGGUGUUCCUGUCACCGCCGAUUCGUCGGUGGGAGGCUUGACCCACAAAAUGAAC